AGUCCGGGCACCAGGUGAAAUCCUCCUGGGAAAAACAGAGAAAAAUUGAAUGGAAGUCAAUUCAAAACAAGACUUGGAAACAAGAAAAAGCACAAAGCCUUUCACCGUUGCACAGGCCUGAGGAGGGUCUGACCACUCCAUGCGAGAAUUAAACUUGCCCAAGGGUGGGGAAAAUCCCCAUCUUUCCCACCCAUAAAUGUGCCCCUUCCUCAAGGGCCUGCAGAGCAGACCAGCUGGGGCACAGCUCCGGAACCCGUCCCACCCCCCCUCUGCUCCCCACCAUCCACAUGGAUGGAUGCUUUUGUCAGGCUGGCUGCCCCCACCUCAGCCCGUGCCAGGCUGGCUGGCAGAAGCUGUCAGCAAGGCCAGCAGCCAGCUCCCCUUGUACAACAUCCGUCCCCUGUCCCUCCAAAAGCAGCUCGGGAGCUGGCAGAAAAAUUAAUAUUCUCCAGUGCUGCCAAGUGGGGAACCUCCGGCACGGAGCCAGGCCGAGCCCUGCCCUGCCUGGAAGCACCAGCAUCCCCCCACCCCUGCGCCGGCUGGGGACUCAUCUUGAUUUCAUCGGGGCGCAGAGCGUGUCCUCCAGGCAGGGGCCGCAGCCAAAGCCCAUCAGCUCUGCCCCGCCAGCGGCCAGCUCCAGGAUGGUGUUCCCAGCUCCACGUCGUGCUCCAGAAGAACACGCCAGCUGUGCUUCAGCUUGCAGCGACAUCACGAUGCCAUUGAGCUGCAGGCGGAUGUUUCCCCUGUCCCAGUCCGUGGCACCUUCACUGCACUGCCACCACUUCUCCAAUAGGAUGGGGAGCUCGGAGCUGCUCCCUCCACAGCUUGCCGGUGACCAGCGGAAGCAUCUCCUCGGAUGUGCUCUCUCCUCUGUGCCACGGACACAGGGAAACACUCCAGGCUUUUCUUCCAGUGCCACGGGACACGUGCUGCUGGUGCUUGCUGGGCUCCUGGAUCCUACUGUGCACAGGGAUGCAUCUCUGCUGUCUCCUGGGUCAGGCAGGGCUCCUGCAGCCAAGAAUGUUCAAAAAGAUCCUCCAGGGAUGGCCUGUCUGUGGGGUCCAUGCAUAAACACCACCUGAUGAGUUGCUG
rnacentral:lncRNA from 1 species